rnacentral:rRNA from 1 species
CGCGGCCUAUCAGCUUGUUGGUGGGGUAGUGGCUUACCAAGGCUUUGACGGGUAGCCGGCCUGAGAGGGUGACCGGCCACAUUGGGACUGAGAUACGGCCCAGACUCCUACGGGAGGCAGCAGCGGGGAAUAUUGCACAAUGGGCGGAAGCCUGAUGCAGCAACGCCGCGUGCGGGAUGACGGCCUUCGGGUUGUAAACCGCUUUCGCCUGUGACGAAGCGUGAGUGACGGUAAUGGGUAAAGAAGCACCGGCUAACUACGUGCCAGCAGCCGCGGUGAUACGUAGGGGGCGAGCGUUGUCCGGAUUUAUUGGGCGUAAAGGGCUCGUAGGCGGCUUGACAAGUCGGCCGUGAAAACCCAGGGCUCAACCCUGGGAGGCCGGUCGAUACUGUCAUGGCUAGGGUCCGGUAGAGGAGAAUGGAAUUCCCGGUGUAGCGGUGAAAUGCGCAGAUAUCGGGAGGAACACCAGUAGCGAAGGCGGUUCUCUGGGCCGGUACCGACGCUGAGGAGCGAAAGCGUGGGGAGCAAACAGGAUUAGAUACCCUGGUAGUCCACGCCGUAAACGGUGGGUACUAGGUGUGGCGUCUUUAUCAACGGAUGCCGUGCCGAAGCUAACGCAUUAAGUACCCCGCCUGGGGAGUACGG